UACGUAGGGCGCAAGCGUUGUCCGGAAUUAUUGGGCGUAAAGAGCUCGUAGGCGGCUUGUCACGUCGGGUGUGAAAGCCCGGGGCUUAACCCCGGGUCUGCAUUCGAUACGGGCUGGCUAGAGUGUGGUAGGGGAGAUCGGAAUUCCUGGUGUAGCGGUGAAAUGCGCAGAUAUCAGGAAGAACACCCGUGGCGAAGGCGGCUCUCUGGAACGCAACUGACGCUGAGACGCGAAAGCGUGGGGAGCAAACAGG
rnacentral:rRNA from 1 species